rnacentral:rRNA from 1 species
CGGCUAACUCCGUGCCAGCAGCCGCGGUAAUACGGAGGGUGCGAGCGUUAAUCGGAAUUACUGGGCGUAAAGGGCACGCAGGCGGUUAAUUAAGUUGGAUGUGAAAUCCCUGGGCUUAACCUAGGAAUGGCAUUCAAUACUGGUUAGCUAGAGUUUUGUAGAGGGGGAUAAAAUUCCAUGUGUAGCGGUGAAAUGCGUAGAGAUGUGGAGGAAUACCAGUGGCGAAGGCGGUCCCCUGGACAAAAACUGACGCUCAUGUGCGAAAGCGUGGGGAGCAAACAGGAUUAGAUACCCUGGUAGUCCAUGCUGUAAACAAUGUCGAUUUGGAGGUUGUGGUCUUGAACUGUGGCCUUCGUAGCUAACGCAUUAAAUCGACCGCCUGGGGAGUACGACCGCAAGGUUAAAACUCAAAUGAAUUGACGGGGGCCCGCACAAGCGGUGGAGCAUGUGGUUUAAUUCGAUGCAACGCGAAAAACCUUACCUACUCUUGACAUCCAGAGUAGCCUUUAGAGAUAGAGGCGUUCCUUCGGGAGCUUUGAGACAGGUGCUGCAUGGCUGUCGUCAGCUCGUGUUGUGAAAUGUUGGGUUAAGUCCCGCAACGAGCGCAACCCUUAUCCUUUGUUGCCAGCG